GUACCCGAAACCGACACAGGUAGGGAGGUUGAGAAUACCAAGGGGCGCGAGAUAACUCUCUCUAAGGAACUCGGCAAAAUGGCCCCGUAACUUCGGGAGAAGGGGUGCCCACCUCAGACGUGGGUCGCAGUGAAGAGAUCCAGGCGACUGUUUACCAAAAACACAGGUCUCCGCCAACUCGCAAGAGGACGUAUGGGGGCUGACGCCUGCCCAGUGCCGGAAGGUUAAGGAAGCUGGUCAGCGAAAGUAAAGCUGGCGACUGAAGCCCCGGUGAACGGCGGCCGUAACUAUAACGGUCCUAAGGUAGCGAAAUUCCUUGUCGGGUAAGUUCCGACCCGCACGAAAGGCGUAACGAUCUGGAUGGUGUCUCAGAGAGAGACUCGGCGAAAUAGGAAUGUCUGUGAAGAUACGGACUGCCUGCACCUGGACAGAAAGACCCUAUGAAGCUUUACUGUAGCCUGGAAUUGUGUUCGGGCUUCGCUUGCGCAGGAUAGGUGGGAAGCGGUGAACUAUUCCUUUUGGGGAAUAGGGAGCUAACGGUGAGAUACCACUCUGGCGAAGCUAGAAUUCUAACCCACGACCGUCAGCCGGUUGGGGAACAGUUUCAGGUGGGCAGUUUGACUGGGGCGGUCGCCUCCUAAAAAGUAAUGGAGGCGCGCAAAGGUUCCCUCAGCACGCUUGGAAACCGUGCGACGAGUGUAAAAGCAAAAGGGAGCUUGACUGCAAGACUGACAAGUCGAGCAGGUACGAAAGUAGGCUUUAGUGAUCCGACGGCGCAGAGUGGAAUGGCCGUCGCUCAACGUAUAAAAGUUACUCUAGGGAUAACAGGCUGAUCUCCCCCAAGAGUCCACAUCGACGGGGAGGUUUGGCACCUCGAUGUCGGCUCAUCGCAACCUGGGGCGGAAGUACGUCCCAAGGGUUGGGCUGUUCGCCCAUUAAAGCGGUACGUGAGCUGGGUUCAGAACGUCGUGAGACAGUUCGGUCCAUAUCCGGUGCAGGCGCAAGAGUAUUGAGAGGAGUCCUCCUUAGUACGAGAGGACCGGGAGGAACGCACCGCUGGUGUACCAGUUAUUGUACCAACAGUAAACGCUGGGUAGCCAAGUGCGGAGAGGAUAACCGCUGAAAGCAUCUAAGUGGGAAGCCCACCUCAAGAUGAGUACUCUCACUACAAAAAGUAGGUAAGGUCACGGGCAGAACACCCGUUAAUAGGCUCUAAGUGGAAGUGCAGUAAUGUAUGAAGCUGA
rnacentral:rRNA from 1 species